AAAAGCCGAUGAUGCUUUGUUAUCCCUGUCUGAAAUAAUGAGGACACCGUACACACUGAGGCUUUU